ACAGUAAAGAAUAUUGUGUAUUUUACUAUUAUUUGCUGAUUAUGGGUGAGACAUCAUUCUUAGCAGCAAAAUUUGUAAUAAAUUUGUGUUCAUACAUGCAUUUUUUCCCCCAGAGAACCAGUUGUGAAAUAUUCGCCAGCACAUGUCUGCUUACAGGAGUGAGAAGCACAGCAGGAAUGCUUUCAUGGAAACAAAACUGAAGGGAGAUGAGACCAUCUGACCCUAGGCUCACUCAGGCUAUUGGCAGAACUUAGUUCCUUAUGGCUGUAUGACGGAGAGCUGUGGCUUUUCAAUGACUCUCCACUGGAAGCUGCUCUUGGAUCCUCAAACCCUCCCAGUUCCAGCAGACCUCUCACACCAUGGAAGCUUGCUCUUCAAGCUGCUCCGCCACCAUGUUCCACGCCAGCUCUCGUGCCCCAUCAGUCCCUGC